rnacentral:rRNA from 1 species
UACGAAGGGGGCUAGCGUUGCUCGGAAUCACUGGGCGUAAAAGCGCACGUAGGCGGAUUGUUAAGUCAGGGGUGAAAUCCCAGAGCUCAACUCUGGAACUGCCUUUGAUACUGGGGUAUCUUGAGUAUGGAAGAGGUAAGUGGAAUUGCGAGUGUAGAGGUGAAAUUCGUAGAUAUUCGGAAGAAACACCAGUGGCGAAGGCGGGCUCACUGGUCCGGUACUGACGCUGAGGGUGCGAAAAGCGUGGGGGGAGCAAAACAGGG